CCUACGGGGGGCUGCAGUGGGGAAUAUUGGACAAUGGGGGGAACCCUGAUCCAGCCAUGCCGCGUGUGUGAAGAAGGCAUUUUUGUUGUAAAGCACUUUAAGCGGGGAAGAGGCUCUGGUUACUAAUACUAACCGGCAGUGGACAUUACCCGCAGAAUAAGCACCGGCUAACUCUGUGCCAGCAGCCGCGGUAAUACAGAGGGUGCGAGCGUUAAUCGGAUUUACUGGGCGUAAAGCGUGCGUAGGCGGCUAAGUAAGUUGGAUGUGAAAUCCCC
rnacentral:rRNA from 1 species